rnacentral:lncRNA from 1 species
CUUGAACCCAGGAGGUGGAGGUUGCAGUGAGUCGAGAUCACACCACUGCACUCCAGCCUGGGUGACACAGUGAGACUCCAUCUCAAGAAAAAAAAAAAAAGAAAAAUUCUAAUCUGGCAGAAGUUGGACUCCAGGAGGGCAGGGAUUUGCUGUAUCCUCUUAGAAGAGGGUUGUUGGAAAGUUCCAGGCACAUCAAAGAUAUUCCAUAAUUACAUGUCGAGAAUAGAGAACAGAGUGGUUCAAGAAGUUGUCUCAGCAGCUUAUUCGCUGCUUUCAAAUGCAGAGUUGGCCUUGUAUGGGAACUUGCUUACCCUGUGUCUCGGGGGACAGACCUUCAUAGCCUUCCUUGGGAGACCGGCACUUUAAGAGGCUCUAUUCCAACCCUGACACAUGACUUGCUCAAGGUCACAUAGCUGGUAAAUGGCAGGUGUCAGAAGCCAGGCCUCUUGACUGCCAGCAUUUCUCUGCCUCUCUAUCUUUGUGUGUGACUGAAUGUGAGACAGGGACACCAGACAGGCCUAGACCCUGCAUCCUGGGAGUUUGCAACUCAAAGAUAUUUCCUCUACUUUCUGUGAACUGCCUUGAUCCCUGGCCAGCAAACUAGAUGUGGUAUCCUCAAAGCCAGACACAGGAUCUGAAGACCUUGGCUGGGAAUGUCAGAGGCGAGGCACAGCCUGCCUGAGCCCAGUGAGAGGAGAGGCAGAGCAUCUACAGGGCUUCAGGAGGCCCCUGCUGCAACCCUGCCUGCAAGUGAGUGAGUCGGCUGGAGCUGAGGCUGAGUUUCAAGUUCUAGGGAAAUGGAAAGGCCACGAGAAGAAGUAGGACCCGAAAGAAACUUUCCCUUCUUGGAAACGUCCGUGUCGCCAUUAUCCCCAACAACUUCCUUUUCACCUCCCUGCCUCUAAGGGACCCUCCCACCAUCAGCUUUCUCCUCUUUAUCCUGUGCCUCCAACUUCCCCCUUCCAUGGCUGCUACAUAAUAAGCAUUCAAUAAAUAUGAG